rnacentral:misc_RNA from 1 species
AAGGAGUCUAACAUGCCCGCGAGUGUUCGGGUGGCAAACCCGUGCGCGCAAUGAAAGUGAAAGUUGGGACCUCUGUCGUGGAGGGCACCGACGCCCGGACCAGACCUUUUGUGACGGAUCUGCGGUAGAGCGUGUAUGUUGGGACCCGAAAGAUGGUGAACUAUGCCUGAAUAGGGUGAAGCCAGAGGAAACUCUGGUGGAGGCUCGUAGCGAUUCUGACGUGCAAAUCGAUCGUCAAAUUUGGGUAUAGGGGCGAAAGACUAAUCGAACCAUCUAGUAGCUGGUUCCUGC